GUGGCUAAUGCAACAUAUGCCGUUGAUAUUGUUCCAUCUCGAAGUGUUAUUGUGAUUGUCAAAUCAUUUACUCUGAAUAUCUCAGAGUGUAACCAGAAGGUGAAAUUUAAGUUAUAAUAGUCAAUGCUCAGGGAUAUCUUUUGUAGAAGUCAUCUUAAAUUUCAAUUAGGAGCACUAUUGUUGUGAUUAAGGCAAAUUUAUAGUAGCCUCAUGUUGGGAAAGAUUAUUGUUUCACCAUGUAAACUUAGACUCUUCAUUUGAGGAAAAAAUUGAAAUCAACACAUACAGAGACAAUUCAAGCAAUGUAGGGAUCGUAUUAAAAAACGUUAAGAAUAAAAAAAUAAUAAUGAAACAAAUCAUCACUAUGAAAAUUUCAUCAACGAUUGCAGGUGAUAUGUCAUUGGUGAUUUUGACUGAAAUAAAUAUUUGUUGAUGAUUUCGAUAGAAUUAUUGAUAGCAAUAAAGUCUGUGAUAAUCAACAUUCAUUCGUCGAUGAUUGUUGUUCGCAAAGUCAAUAGCAAUAUUAUCAGAAAUCAUCGGUUAUGCACUAUUCACCAACAAGAUGUUGCAAUAAUCACCUAUAGUAUGGUCGUCGAUGAUCACCGGUGAUAUGAUAGGAAAGUGAUUCUAAUUGAAAUAAUAUGCAUAGGUGAUUAAAUCAUUAGUGAUCAUCUUUUCACCCUUUUCAGCGAUUACUAAUAAUAAUAUUGUUAGUGAUGUUUAUAGGAAUACAUAAGUGCUUCAGUCACUGACGUGAAUUCCUCAAUGUCACUCACAAAGCUUUGAUCUUCUCUCUCUCUCUCUCUCCAUUAUGCAUGAUUCUAGGGAUCAUAGAGAUUAUUCUCCUACAUAUUAUUUCCUAGAUUAUUUUUGUUUCCUUACAUAGCAGAUUUCAUACAUGUGUGUGUGUGUGUGUGUGUAUUACAUACGAAAUUAAUGAAGUUUAUUUUCAUGCCAUAGAAACUUAACAGCUAUCAGAGCAUUAGGCUUCGAAAUUCAUACCUUUGCUUCUGCCAUGGCCGAAUCCCCUGCCUUAGACAUCAACAAGUCUCUCACUAAUGCUUCAUCCCCAUACUUCCUGCAUUCAUCUGACCAACCAAAUCAGUUCCUUGUGGAUACACCUCUUAAUGGCGACAAUUAUCCCGCUUGGCGUCGAGCAAUCACUCGAGCACUGAAUGCCAAGAACAAAUUGGGCUUUGUUCUCGGUACCAUCAAACGACCCACCGAAGACUCCACUGCAGCAUUACUCUGGGACCGAUGCUGCAUCGAUCACUCGCUUACAGGCAGCCUUCUCUAUUGUGCUACACGGAAUGACUUAUGGGUAGAACUAGAAACUCAUUUCCAACAAAGAAACCGCACCAAAGUUUUCCAACUAAAACGGGAUUUGGCCAAUCUUCACCAGGAACAAAAUUCAAUUACAGCAUACUAUGGAAAAUUGAAGGAGUUAUAGGAUGAAUUAGGCUCCUUACAACCAAUCAGUCCAUGUACAUGUGAUGCCCGUAAAUCUCUCGUUGAAUCUCAAGACACAGAUCGAGUUUAUAAUUCCUCAUGGGCUUUAACGAGAGUUUUCAGCAAAUUCGAUCACAGAUCUUAGCCACAGACCCACUCCCCUCUAUUACUUGUUGCUAUGCUAUCCUCCUUCAAACAGAAACCCAACAUUUGCUCCAAUUAAACCCAGCUUGAUCGGAUGCCUCAGCUCUAAUCGCCCGCUCGACGCCACAACGGACUCAACCUCGUCCUCGUUGAGUCUGGCCCACCGAAACUCCUCUCUGUAAAGUAUGUGGUAAACCUGGCCAUCAACGUGAUAAAUGCUUCGAGGUUAUUAGGUACCUAGAAUGGUGGCCAUCCAAGAGCAAAUGCGGCGUUGCCGACCGGCAGUCCAUCAAGUUUCUGUCGUCGCCAACUCCUCAGCCAUGAGUAAAAUUUCUGGUCUCUCCACCGAGCAAUAUUCCCAAUUAAUGGAACUCCUCAAAAGCCCAGCUCUCUCCUUCACAGGUCCCUCUGCUCGUCCCUCUCCUUUUGAUAAACCGUGAGUUAUGGAUAGUGGUGCCACACACCACAUUACCACUUUAUCCCUAAAUAAUUCUUGCACUAGUACUUGUCCAUCUUUUGUUUCCCUCCCUACAGGUUCACAGGCUCCCGUAUCCAGUACGGGUGAUGUUAAAU
rnacentral:lncRNA from 1 species